UCAUAUUUAAUGGAGAGGCUACUUCAGUUUCCAAUGUAGUCACAACUAGUGAAACUGAUAUUACAAAAACCCACUUCUCAAUAACAAAGGCAGUAUGAAAGUCAGCCUUCUUACCACGAGAAGCAUGACCAAUCCAGGUGGUUCUGUAGCCAGCUCUGACGCAAAAGAAAUGAUUGAAUAGCCCUUUAAACCUUACCUGUUGCCCAAAGUGUCAUAAUCUGGAUCUGUUCAGGCGUUUUGAAGACCAUUCCUUAUAUCUACUAAGGACAAAGGCCACAUGCCAAAAAGUAGGUAACCUGACAUAGAGCUUUAGUUUGGGGAUUUUCUUUUGAACUGCCAUCAGUGCGGUCGCUCAAGUAACAUUGGUCCAUGCCAAUUCACAAGUGGACUCUUGUGCCAGCGGCACAAUCAAGCCAACCAAACGCAAAGAACCAUUUAGAGACAUGCAAAACCAAGUGAGGGAGCAAUUGGCUUUCAUUUUGUCCAUUAUCUAAUAGCCUCUCCUUUGCCAGAAUUUGACUUGCCCCUGGGUAUGCAGAGCUGAAAAGAUACAAUUUUUACCCUCAAGGGAGUCAGUUUAGUAGGGAAAACAGAAAUUACUAGACUAUACAGUUAUUACAAUGAUGGACUAUCAAAAGGGACACUUAGUAGGUGUGGGUGGGCCAAAGAAAACUAAGAAGGAAUGAAGGGAGUGUUCUUGAGCCAAACCAAAUAAACAAAACUGAAACUCACCAUUAUGACAAACCCACUCUCAGAAGUAGAAUAUUGAUUUAGACUAGUUCUCAUUUGGAAGGGUUUAUUUAUUCUAAUAAUUUCAAGCAAUCCUAAGUCUUUCCAUUUUAACAAGGUCAUUUAGAGUUUUAAAGAUAUUUCCAAAAGUAGGAGUAGUUUGACAUGUGGGCCAUCAUAUACAUACACACACACACACUUAACGGUCAUCCGGCAAAGUGAGAAGAGUUCAUCAGCUAGAUGAGAAUGUGGAAGUGAAACUUCCCCACUGUGUCUGCUUUAGUAACAGCAGCACAUUCCUGCCUGUGUUUGUUCCCUUACAUUAAGUAUGAAAUCAUUCCGACCAUCGACUGUAAAUCUCGGGGUGCUGCCUGCCUGUCAUACGUGGGAACCUUUGACGAUGACUCCAGAAUUGCGCAAUUGUGUUUCUUCUGUUUUUGUUUUUGCCACAUUAACUGUAUCAGGUAGUGCUUGAAAUAGAGGUGGAAUCUGUUACUCCGCCAGCUUACCGUUUAACAAGUCAAAUGAUGCAUUAAGAAAGCAAAUUUUUAAACUAUAAGAUGUGUAUUUGCCAUAUUUUUGCUUAGUCUUAUUUAGAGCUUUCUAUGCCUGGAUGAAAUUCUCUUGCCUUCUACUGUUUGCAAUAACUCAAGUCCUUUUUCUUCUUUUCAGAUAAUCUACUUAUAUUUAUGCCAUAUUUUCUAGUUUUUCUUAUUGCUUCAUCUAAUUUCUAAAUAAACAUAGAAUACACAAUAUUAGUCUGUUCACAGUCACUAAACUAAUAUCCUCAAAUGUAUUUGGAUUUUGUGAGUUCCCCAAAUUUGCCUUUGCUUGUGCAUGAUUUAGCUAUGUAACUUCCCUUGCACUAUCUUCUCUCAAGAACUUGGCCGCACUGCAUUUCUCUCCAUCAUUUCCCACACUGCACUGGCAUUUUGAGUCAUCUGGGAUGAGGCACCCUCCCUGCUAUUAACUGUGUAAUGUUUAAACUCGGCUUGCCCGUCUCCUUUCUUUUGAAUUUAAACACCACGUGAAUUAAACUGACCUUACUUGCUUUCAACCUGUAAUUCCUGACUGCAACAGGUAGUUGCCAACUCUUGUAACUGACAGGUUUGACUAGAAGCUGACCGUUCUUACUCCCACUGAACUUAAUAUUUGGCAUUUGUAUAAAUUCAAAAGGCAAGAUCGUACCUUUCUUAUUAAUGGGCCCUCUUUGUUCAUUGAUAAUACAGUAUCUCCAUCAACAGGAAGUAAUUGUGCCAUACCUCAGAAAAUAGACUCCUUUUAUUUCCAAGCAGGGGAAAGCAGGAGAAUUUUACCGCAAAGAGGCUACGAGCCCCUUCAAGGGAUUUACCAGACGAGUGCUGGUGUAAGUUACAAAGACAGUGCUAGUCUCUACCCCGAGGAGCAGCCAGGACACUUGCCUGAUGGCAGGUGGGGUAAAUUGACUCUUUGUACUUGCAACUCAGGCAUGUGAAGAAUACAGCAUCCCUCGAGUCCAGAGAUUUGAGAUCACCAGUGUUUAUCCAGCCGGCAUGAUGGCGAUGAGAGAAGAGAGAAACUUCAGAGCCAAGGAAGAUUUGUGCUAUGGAUAAACAGGACGGCUCCAGUGAAUAUAUCUUAACUGCUCUGUGGUAUUGCACCGUAGGAAUGUUUUAGCAUUUACCUAAUCUCCUAUUGAUGGCCAUCUGAAGUCCCGGGACAUCGUUCAAAGCAACGAUCUCCACUUGGCAGAUGAGGAGAUUGAGGGCCAGAAAGGAAAAUGAUUUGCCAGCCAUGGCUGAUUGGUACCAAGGCUGCAGCUGAAACCUGAACCUCCAGACUUCCCACUCUGUGCUUUGGGCUCCCUUACGAAGAUAGACGCCACAGUCUGAGCAUGUGAAGAAUACAGCAUCCCUCGAGUCCAGAGAUUUGAGAUCACCAGUGUUUAUCCAGCCGGCAUGAUGGCGAUGAGAGAAGAGAGAAACUUCAGAGCCAAGGAAGAUUUGUGCUAUGGAUAAACAGGACGGCUCCAGUGAAUAUUUCUUAACUGCUCUGUGGUAUUGCACCGUAGGAAUGUUUUAGCAUUUACCUAAUCUCCUAUUGAUGGCCAUCUGCACCCGAGGAGCAGAACCUGGAAGUGGGACCAGUGGGAGGGAGUCAGUCAGCAGACCUCGCCUCACACGAGGUCCCCGCUGCCCGUCCUAAUCUUCUAGCCUGUGAACCAACAGAAUAGUGGUGGUGCAGCACCACUUAAGACCGUGCUAAAAAUGCACUUGACGCAGCUGCAGUGAGAACACAGCCAACGUCGCAGAACGUCCCCUAACAGCCUCCUGUCUGGUGCUCAGCUGUAAACUUCCCAUUGGUUGGCUGUUCCCACCUGGGACGACCACUUGACUUGUUCUUGACUUUCAUGAAGGAACCACUGUCUCACCCUGAAGCAUCUACUCAAACGCAAGCCAGGGCUCAAACGCUGCUGUGUCUUGUCAGCGUUAACUACAGUGCGUCUGUUUCCAGCACCGUGGCAGCAACUAGGACAAGGCUUUCUUGCUGAACCUGUAUAGUGACACAGUCCACACAGCUUCACUUGCUGUCGUUGCCUUUGUUAGGGACAGUUUCAAAGGCAGCAUUCCAAAUCAGAGAUCCUAAGCCAGAGGACGAAACGCACACACAGAGUACUGGAACCAUGAUCUCAGGCACAUGGAUAUAAGAGCCAGGUCAUUGAGACGCCACCAGCGGAGAGAAAUACUUCGUAUUAAAUACCUGGUUACUUGCUAACACAAUAUGGGCUGAACUUUGGGAGCCCACCUGCAUCACCGUCUUACUAAGGGACUGGUCCAAUGAGAUGGAACAACCUAUGCUCCUCACCAACAGGAUAACCCCUCAAGAUUGAAGAUGAACAACAAAAGGGGGGAUUGAUACGGGUUAACACAAGGUUAACAUAAGGGAAGCCAUAUUGUAAAGAAGAAACCAUAUUGUAACUUUGAAUGACCUCUGAUUAACUAACCCAGACAUGCUCUGUAGAUUUUAUGGACCCUGUCAGCUGCUAUAAUUUGAUAAGUUUGUUCUUUUGAGUUCCUUAGGAAUGUGAUGACCCCCAGGUAGAGAGUCUGUGCUGAUGGCCAUCAUCAUUGACAACUGAAAGAUCAGGGUAUAGGCCAUUGCUCUGGUCUCUGAUGCAUCUCCAGUAAAACAAAAGACUAUCAGAAACUGAGACCAGAUGUCUUCCCCACCUGGAGAACAGAUGGAGGCCCCACUGGGAUUAGGUCUAUUUUUCAGGGACUGUGAAAAUUUGGGUUGUCUAUACUUCUUGUCCUUCUGGUAAGCCAGGAACAUGAGAAGAUUUCCAAAUGAGUGCUAAAAAUGUCAUUCCUUUAACCCAGAUCUCCGCCCCAAUCUAGCAGGCAGUAGCUAGAUCGGUCAUCACCCCAAAUCCCUCAAGAAUGAGAAGUGACCAAACAAUAGGGGGGAUUGAAACCAGCAAACAGCCAUUGAUGAUUAAGUAUCUAGGUACUAAAGUUUUUUCCUCUUUGCAGUUACUGAUUAUAGCUUUUAGCUGUUUAACCCAGCCAUUGGUAACUGUGCUGUUUAGGCAAUCUGCUACCUGACUCCCACCAGAGUCCUAUAGAUAACAUCUCCCUGGAGCCUGGGUCACCAUGGUAAUGGGUGUGUGAGCUGAUUUCAGGAAUUAGAACUCCUUGUCCACUUCAGGCCAGUUGAGGCCACCAACCUCUCAACGGAGCUCAAGCAGAUGUCUGAUAGGCAACCUUUCGACAUCAAGAGGCUAAAAACUCCACCCUCUGAUCAUGCUAAUACCGCCAUUUUGUGAACAUGGGUCCUAUGAAGAGUCAUGAAGUCUGACUACGCUUGUGCAGAUCAUGGAUUACCUCACCUCUCCUCACCUCCAAUCACCUCACUCCACAUUUCAGACCACCUUGCCCCAUCCCAUAAAUAUCACUGAGUCCCUUUUUUUGGGGAAGCAAAUUUGGGGCUCAUGCUCCCACUUCCUCACUUGGUUGCCUUGGAAGUAAACCCUCUCUCUGCUGCGA